rnacentral:rRNA from 1 species
GGUUAAGUGAAUAAGGGCGCACGGUGGAUGCCUUGGCACUAGGAGCCGAUGAAGGACGGGACUAACACCGAUAUGCUUUGGGGAGCUGUAAGUAAGCUAUGAUCCAGAGAUUUCCGAAUGGGGGAACCCAAUAUCUUUUAUAGGAUAUUACUUUUCAGUGAAUACAUAGCUGAUUAGAGGUAGACGCAGAGAACUGAAACAUCUUAGUACCUGCAGGAAGAGAAAGAAAAUUCGAUUCCCUGAGUAGCGGCGAGCGAAACGGGAAGAGCCCAAACCAACAAGCUUGCUUGUUGGGGUUGUAGGACUCCAAUAUGGUAGUCUGUUAGUAUAGUUGAAGGAUUUGGAAAAUUCCGCUAAAGAGGGUGAAAGCCCCGUAGACGAAAUGCUGACAACACCUAGGAGGAUCCUGAGUACGACGGAACACGAGAAAUUCCGUCGGAAUCCGCGGGGACCAUCCCGCAAGGCUAAAUACUCCCUAGUGACCGAUAGUGAACCAGUACCGUGAGGGAAAGGUGAAAAGCACCCCGGAAGGGGAGUGAAAUAGAUCCUGAAACCGUGUGCCUACAACAAGUCAAAGCUCGUUAAUGAGUGAUGGCGUGCCUUUUGUAGAAUGAACCGGCGAGUUACGAUUGCAUGCGAGGUUAAGUCGAAGAGACGGAGCCGCAGCGAAAGCGAGUCUGAAUAGGGCGAAUGAGUAUGUAGUCGUAGACCCGAAACCAUGUGAUCUACCCAUGUCCAGGUUGAAGGUGCGGUAAAACGCACUGGAGGACCGAACCCACGUACGUUGAAAAGUGCGGGGAUGAGGUGUGGGUAGCGGAGAAAUUCCAAACGAACUUGGAGAUAGCUGGUUCUCUCCGAAAUAGCUUUAGGGCUAGCCUCGGAAUUGAGAAUGAUGGAGGUAGAGCACUGUUUGGACUAGGGGCCCAUCUCGGGUUACCGAAUUCAGAUAAACUCCGAAUGCCAUUCAUUUAUAUCCGGGAGUCAGACUGCGAGUGAUAAGAUCCGUAGUCGAAAGGGAAACAGCCCAGACCACCAGCUAAGGUCCCAAAAUAUAUGUUAAGUGGAAAAGGAUGUGGGGUUGCACAGACAACUAGGAUGUUGGCUUAGAAGCAGCCACCAUUUAAAGAGUGCGUAAUAGCUCACUAGUCGAGUGACCCUGCGCCGAAAAUGUACCGGGGCUAAACAUAUUACCGAAGCUGUGGACUACACCAUUAGGUGUAGUGGUAGGAGAGCGUUCUAAGGGCGUUGAAGGUCGAUCGUGAGGACGGCUGGAGCGCUUAGAAGUGAGAAUGCCGGUAUGAGUAGCGAAAGACAGGUGAGAAUCCUGUCCACCGUAUGACUAAGGUUUCCUGGGGAAGGCUCGUCCGCCCAGGGUUAGUCGGGACCUAAGCCGAGGCCGAUAGGCGUAGGCGAUGGACAACAGGUUGAUAUUCCU